rnacentral:rRNA from 1 species
GUUUGUUUGGAGUUAUAGAGAAUCUAGCCUGCCCCCUGAUAAUUACAUUAAAGGGCCGCAGUAUUCUAACUGUGCAAAGGUAGCAUAAUCAUUAGGUUUUUAAUUGAAAUCUUGUAUGAAUGGCUGGACAAAAGAAAAUCUUUCUUUGUAUUAAUUUUUGAAUUUAACUUUUAAGUGAAAAGGCUUAAAUGACCCAGGGGGACGAUAAGACCCUGUAAAACUUUACAUUAUAGUUAAAUUAAUUUAAUUUAGGUAAUAAAAAUUUAAUUAGAUUAUUUGUUAUGUUGGGGAGACAUAGGUAAAAUUUUUUAUUUUAACUGCUUUAGAAGUUUAACAAUUAUUAUUGAGGUAUAAUAGAUCCUUUUUAAAGAUUAAUAAGUUAAGUUACUUCAGGGAUAACAGCGUAAUUUCUUUUAAGAGUUCUUAUCGAAAAGGAAGAUUGCGACCUCGAUGUUGAAUUAAAAUAUCUAUAUAAUGGAGAAGUUAUAUAAGAAGGUCUGUUCGACCUUUAAAUUUUU